rfam:Oryza barthii chromosome 7, whole genome shotgun sequence.
AAAGACUCAAUUUCUAGAUUUCCGUGUCCAACGUUUGACUGUCCGUCUUAUUUAAAAAAAUUAUGAAAAAAUUUAAAAAUAUAAGUCACACAUAAAGUAUUAAUCAUGUUUUAUCAUCUAACAACAAUAAAAAUACUAAUCAUAAAAAAAUUUCAUAUAAGACGGACAGUCAAAUGUUGUACACAAAAACCCAGGAAUUGAGUCUUU